GAUGAACGCUAGCGGGAGGCCUAACACAUGCAAGCCGAGCGGUAGAGAUUCUUCGGAAUCUUGAGAGCGGCGUACGGGUGCGGAACACGUGUGCAACCUGCCUUUAUCAGGGGGAUAGCCUUUCGAAAGGAAGAUUAAUACCCCAUAAUAUAUUGAAUGGCAUCAUUUGAUAUUGAAAACUCCGGUGGAUAGAGAUGGGCACGCGCAAGAUUAGAUAGUUGGUGAGGUAACGGCUCACCAAGUCUACGAUCUUUAGGGGGCCUGAGAGGGUGAUCCCCCACCCUGGUACUGAGACACGGACCAGACUCCUACGGGAGGCAGCAGUGAGGAAUAUUGGACAAUGGGUGCGAUCCUGAUCCAGCCAUCCCGCGUGAAGGACGACGGCCCUAUGGGUUGUAAACUUCUUUUGUAUAGGGAUAAACCUAGAUACGUGUAUCUAGCUGAAGGUACUAUACGAAUAAGCACCGGCUAACUCCGUGCCAGCCGCCGCCGUAA
rnacentral:rRNA from 1 species